GGGAUACUGUGGAUCCAGACUCUUGCCUGCGUUACAGUUUAAAAUGCACGUGUGUGGAGGCGUACUGCAGAUAAGUGGAAGCUUUCGUGCUCAUGCGAGACAUCCCCGGACGACACGGCCUUCGGUGUACAGCUAAAAGUGUACAAAAUAAAUACGUGUUUCAUCCGUGGGGGAUGCGUCUUCCUCGAGCAGUUUGACAGCAGAGGUCUCACUCCGAAUCAGUCGGGCGGCAUGAUCUUUUCAUCAGCUGCGGUAAGCGAUGUUGAACAUACCUCGUCUGUCGCUCCACACGAAGCUUCGGGUCUUCUCGGCCACAGCCAUACCCUCCCUUCUCUAUG